CUCCUCUUUGUUUUGCAGCUCUUGGAAACCUUCUUUAUGCAUUGGGUUCGGGCCAUGGUUCUCUUCCCUAUGCAAAUGUAUGUGCUCUGUUAUCUCAUGGAGCUGGAAGGAAAAUUGACAUCAAGCAUGCCGAGAGGAAAUGUUGCUCCGGUUUGGGUUGCUCUUACACACUGUGUUACUACUCCAUGCUCUCGGAUGGUCUCUGAUUGCCAGCACUGACUGAAAGGACAGGAUUUUCCCCUUCAUGAAUAACCAGCUUUUUCACGAUUCCUUUUCACUCCCUAUCAGUAUAAGAACUCGCCUGGAGAGGAGCAUCCCAGACCCCAUGGUGGAGAUGCAGCUCCACAGCCUGGAAAAGUGUCCUGCUCCCUUGCUCCGGUUUGGUGGGGGAGCAGGAAAACCCUCUUUACCUCAAACAGGCACUCUCGCACUCUUUGCUUAAGACAAAUAAUUUUUUUAUAAGGAAAAAAACCCACUCUGUCAGGCAGAUUAAAGUUUAGGUUUGGAGUAAGCCCUGCUAUUAAGUCUCCUAAGGAUUCAAAUUGGUAUUUACAUUGCAGGGCUGGAGCGGAGUACUUGGCUGUAAUAGUGACUUUCAGCUUGAUUCCAUGUUUAAGAAGUGAUAUUUUAAGGUGAAAUGUGUAAAACGCUUCUGUGGCCCCAGUCAGAACUAAAUGGAAACGGCAGGAACAGUGCAUCAGCCCCCAAGUGCAGGCACAGCAAUGUCUGUGCCGGGGCUGGUGUCACCUCCUCUGUGACCAAAGGCCUGUGGAUAUGAGGAGCUGGGGCUGCGAGCUGCAUUUUGGGGUAUUUUUACAGAUAAAACCCAUUUAGGUCAUUUCAUUUAAGUGCAAACCUGUGGCCCAUGUGGCUGUGCUGGAGCUGGAGUUGUCGCUUCUGCUGCUGCUUUGCAAAACAACGAGCCCCGGAGGUAGCUUUGGGACUGCUGCAGGCUGGGAGGUUGUUUUCAGGAAGGAAAAUUAAAAUGUGGGAUGAGAACAGCAGCCUGUGGCCUGACGUUUGCUCCUGCAAAGCUGCUUUUCCUGGGCUCUCCUUGCACAGCUGGCUAGCCAUGCAGCUUUCUUGGCACAACCAUGUAAGAGGCACCAGAGAAUCCACACAGGGGAGUGGUGAUCUGAAUGUCCUGGGCAGGGAAAAGAGCUGCCUUUUGUGAACUUGCCCUGCUGGACAUCUUGGUACCCUCUUCCCAGCUGGCUUUUCCUUUCUGGUGAGUUCUCGGGUGUUUCAUCAGGUGUGAUGCGACUUGGGCUCAAUCUCGUGUAGAUUCUCUGAUGCCUAGUAAGGACCGCAUUCCCACACAACCUUUUCCUCUGCAGGACCACCAAUUACACCUCAUUCCUCUGCAAGGCUGUGGACUCUCCCAAGUCUGUUGCAAAGUAAUUCUUCUCAAAUUCCUAUCAUUACUGUCAGAUUUGGCUGAAAUUGGCUGAUAAACUGUAAAAUUGAGAGAAGAAAUAAUCAUUUGUGGCAUGCGGUGUGUGAUUGCAGAAGCUUCUUUUCCUCAGAAAGCAAGGCUUAAAGGGAACAAAAUACAUGUUUUUUUGUUUCUGGGGAGUUCAACACGUUAAAUGGGGAGCUGACGGGGGCCGCCAGUGAUGCCGCCAGCUGCGGCAGCUCUCUGCAGGAAGCUGCAUCCAAGGACUGUUCCCAGGAUGCCCACACGGAGCCCUGAGUCUCCUGGUGCUGCCCAGCAAACCUUCCCACAGGAGCCGUGGGCCUUUGUGUGAAGUGUGACGGGUCCUUCAGCCACGUGGGAGACCCCUGGAUGGCCCCAUCAGCCCCUAAGUUUGGCCCAGCUGCUGCCGUGUGGUAGUGAAACGAAGCAAGAUGAUUAAAUCCUUGUGCUCCACAAUGCUGGAAUUGCGAAAACAGUCAAGAUCUGACUCAGAAAUAGGCUGUUGGGGAGCGCAGUGCCUUGAUGCCUCUGUCAGCGCGGGGAUGUGCCCGUGCGCGGGGGAACGCGGAGCAGCA